GUUUGGGAUAGUCAAUGUAAAGAACAUGGCUGUAAAAGAUUUAAAAAACCUAUUUAGUAUUUCUUUUGGAAAAAACUAGUAAAUAAAUAUGAUUUUACAAAUUUUCAUUUCAGUUGCUUUUGCCAAGAGUAAGUUAUUUGACGUUGGUAACUGACAAAGUGAAAAAGCACUUUCAGAAGGUUAUGAGACAAGAAGAUAAUAGUGAGAUAUGGUUUGAAUAUGAAGGCACACCACUGAAAUGGUGGUUCUGGGAAGGGAUGACAGUUGUUUCAUAGUACUAUUAAAUCGGUAUGUAACAGUGAGCUUCAUGAUCACAUAUAAGACUCAUUAUGAUUAUUAGAUACUUCUAGAACUCAGCAAAGGUAAAGCAGUUUUCUGUUUACUUUUGUUUCAAAAGAAUUGGAAGUUUUAGAAUGGGAAGGUGGUUUUUUAAAAGUGUAGAAGGA
rnacentral:lncRNA from 1 species